CCCAAACAUAAUCCUGCCUGCAGAGGUGUUGAAGUAAGCAUGUCGUUGUCAGAAGCAGCGAACCUGGCUUCGGAGAGAGGGCAAUGCUUUGCUUGAGAGUCAAAAAAGGGUCUUCUGAAGAUGGAAUUGUGUUCUAUUCCAGAAAACCCACGCACGUCAUCUUUUGGUGUGGUAUCGAGGCUGUGAUUUAUUUCUUGGCCUUUUCAAGGUCUUGGAGUUUUUCCUCAAGGUUUUACUGGCUGCCUUAAUAGAAGCAUGUGAGCGCUCAGUUGGGUGUUUCUGUCAGGUGUUGUUCAACUGCUGGAAGACAGAACCAAACUGUAAAUCCAUCCAUGAAGAAAUCAGGGUAAGGGUACACGUCGUGUUAUGUGAUAUGUUAAUAAAUUAACUGCAGUUGCUAAAUUAAUGGCUUUGCUUAACGACACUGUGUACAAGUAGCUGAGGACACUCUUAAACCACAUACAAGAUACCUCUUGGUAUGUGAUAAUGGGUAUUGUAAAAUGUGUAGCCAGAAUAUUUAUAGUCAGAAUUCUGAUUUGGGGAUGGUUUGAUGCUGACAUACCUGAUAAGUUUUACAGAGAUAGGUAUACAUUUUGAAAUUGCUCUAAAGGGUUGUAGGCUUUUAAUUGAUGGAAGAGACUUGGAGAAGGCAGGUUAGAAAUUCACCUAAGAGCAAGCAAUGUGUGGUUUGAGGAAUAAUAUGUCUGCCGUCCUCAUCUGCAGAUAUUUGUUUCUUUUUGAAGACUCCUGUAUUUUAUAUAACAAAAUCACUGGUUCACAAAUGAGUCUUUCUUCAGGGCAGCACAAAAAGUCACCCGAAUACAGCUUUUCAGGUGGGCGGCUGAGUUUGGUGGCUUUGCUUUCCCUUGUCUUUCUGAGAGGAAAAAAGCAGAGGCAAAUGCUCCAGCUGAGAUCUGGCUCCCUUCCAGAGGCAGUAGCUCUGGUAUGACUCAGUGAGGGGGCCUGCUUAUCUUCCUCUGUUUUUCCCUCCCCUUUCCCCCUAUGCUGACCUGGCAAGGCUGUAUAUCUGAUCCCAUCCCAGUGUCUUUCUCUCCUCCCUUGCUGCUCACUUGAGAAGGAAUGAGCUCAUCACAGGAACUUGCUGCUUUUGUGCCCAGUGUGUGAUUAACCUUUUUUCCUCCCUUCAUUCUCACCACCAUUCCAGACGCUUUGUCCAGCAAUAGUCAUUCCCCAGAGCCUCCUCUGGUCGUGAUCCCAGUGUUUACAGCCAAGGAUCAUUCCAGAUGCUGCUGCUUUCCGUUUUCCAGAAGUGGGCAUUUCUCGUGACGAAGACUUCCAGGCCCUUCAUUGUGAGGGUAUGAGGAUGCAAAAUAGGACGCAGCUGCUGUGGCCGCGACUUACCUCUUCAUCAUCUCCUUCAAAUUGUACAACUCCUGAUGGGGGUUGCUGUGGAUUGCAGCACGGCCUGGAAGAUAUUUCAGCCUCCCAUUUCUGCCUCUUGCAGUGGCAGGUUUCUUACACCGUUGAAGAGCCAUUUGAAAAAUGGCCUCAUGCUGAUUUGUUUCACUUUCCUCCAGAAGUUUAUAAUUCCUGUAAGAUGUGAACAGCACUGGAGUAGAAAUUGAGGAAUUUGAGAUUCGUUUAUGCUGAGAUUGCUUUCUGUGUUUGAGUUUUGUCAGUGAUAUGAUUGGAGGUCCUUAGUGAGUAAUUGUUACCUGGUUAUUUUUUUAAAGGAUGUGUUUCUAGUGUACUUUUGCUAUGUUUUGGUUUUGCUUUGUGUUGUUUUGUUUUAAAGAACGGUCUACUUUUUGAGGCAUUUGUUACCUACUUUGUAUGGGUUGCCUGCUGAGUUGUUUGAGCAAUGAGGGACUGCCUGAAUAAACUGUGAGAUUCUGC